AAGUCAAAUAUGUUUGGCUUGAAUUCAGAUUCUUAUACAAUGCACUUCUCUUUUUUUCAGAGCAUCGAUGUGGGCGCAGAGCUGAUUCGCUUGGGCUACGCGGUGCCAAGCCCGCAGGAGAGCGAUGGCGGCGGCAUGGGAGACGGACGGCACCAGCUGAGCAAAGAGGGGAACAUGAUGGAGGCCUCCCUGGAAAACCUGUCCGAGAUGCAGAAAACUCCCGAUGAGAUGCCUCUCUCCUUGUCCUGUGUCAGCCUUCCAGAUGUGGCCUCUGUGUCGGAGAGCGGGGAUUUCGGAGACCCCUCAUUGACUCCUUUGGCUUCAGGAAUGACGGUGAGGCUUGGUUGCUGGGCGCGGGAGGGCUCUUCUGGGAUCCUGGCUGGGAGGAUAAACUUCUCCCAGUUCUGGGUUGCUGUGAGUUUUCCGGUCUGUCUGGCCAUGUUCCAGAAGCAUUCUCUCCUGACCUUUCACCAACAUCUAUGGCAGGCAUCCUCAGAGGUUUCAAGGUCUGUUGGAAACUAGGCAAGUGAGGCUUAUAUACCUGUGGAAUAAUGUCCAGGGUGGGAGAAGGAACUCUUGACUGUUGGAGACAAGUGUGAAUGUUGCAAUUUGUCAGCUCAGUUAACAUUGAAUAGCCUUGCAGCUUCAAAGCCUGCCUAGGGGGCAUCCUUGGGAGGUGUUAGCUGGCAAGAAACAAUUAGGACCAGUUGAGAGGUGUUCGCUGGAAAGAAACAAUCAGGGCCAGCUAGCCCCCAGUGGCGUAGUGGGUUAAAGCCUUGCGACUUGAAGGUUGGGUUGCUGACCUGAAGGCUGCCAGGUUCGAAUCCCACCCAGGGAGAGCGUGGAUGAGCUCCCUCUUUCAGCUCUAGCUCCAUGCGGGGACAUGAGAGAAUCCUUCCACAAGGAUGGUAAAAACAUCAAAACAUCCAGGCAUCCCCUGGGCAACGUCCUAGCAGACGGCCAAUCCUCUCACACCAGAAACGCCUUGCAGUUUCUCAAGUCGCUCCUGAUACCAAAAAAAGCUAACACCUCCCAACAAAGGAUGCCCACAGACAGGCUUUGAAGCUGCAGGGCCAUUCAGUGCUAAUCAAGCUGGCCAAUUGGAACAUUCACACUUGCCUCAAACAGAGAAGAGUUAUUUCUCCCACCCUGAUAUAUAAACGCCACUUGCCUGGUUUCCAACAGACUUCACAAUCUCUGAGGAUGCCUGCCAUAGAUGUGGGCGAAACGCCAGGAGAGAAUGCUUCCAGCGUUGAACUCUGGGUCUCCAUAACUGGCCAAUCAGGGGAGUUUGGUUACCAGUUUUUUUUGUUUUUUUUGGAUUGUAUGUUAUGCACUUUUGUUUUUUAUUUGUAUUAUUUUAUAUUGUUGUAUGCUUUUAUUUAUUAUGUGUAUUGUAUUGUAUUGUUUUUUAUCAGGUUGCAAACCACUCUGAGUCCCUUGAGGAGACAGGGCGGUAUAUAAAUCAAGUUUUAUUAUUAUUAUUAUUUUAUUAUGACACAGCAAACAAGAUAGAUAUGCUGGAUUUUGUAUCACAAAAUCACAAGUCAAACACUUCCCAAGUGUCUAGGACUGUGUGAUGUAUUUUCGGAUGAUGCGUGCAGAUCCCAGCAGGGUGGCCUUUUGCAGUUGGCAGAUCAUGAUUUUGUCAAUGUCUAUUGUUUCCAAAUGCCGGCUGGGAUCUUUUGGUACGGCACCCAUUGUGCCGAUCACCACCGGGACCACCUGCACUGGUUUCUGCCAGAGUCUUUGAAGUUCAAUCUUGAGGUCCUGAGAGCGGCUGAGUUUUUCCUGUUAUUUUUCGUCAAUGCGACUGUCACCUGGGAUGGCGACAUCAGUGAUCCAAACCUAUUUCCUUUCCACAACUGUGAUGUCUGGUGUGUUGUGUUCCAGAACUUUGUCAGUCUGGAUUCGGAAGUCCCACAGUAUCUUUGUGUGCUCAUUUUCCAAUACUUCUGCAGGUUUGUGAUCCCACCAGUUCUUUGCUGCUGGCAGGUGGUACUUGAGGCAUAAGUUCCAAUGAAUCAUUUGGGCCACAUGGUUGUGCCUCUGUUUGUAGUCUGUCUGUGCGAUUUUCUUACAGCAGCUGAGGAGAUGAUCCAUGGUUUUGUCGGUUUCUUUGCACAGUCUGCAUUUUGGGUCAUCAGCUGAUUUUUCGUUCUUGGCCUGAAUUGCCUUUGUUCUGAUGUCUUGCUCCUGGGCUGCAAGGAUCAGGCCUUCUGUCUCCUCCUUCAAGGUCCCAUUUUCCAAUACUUUUGCAGGUUUGUGAUUCCACCAGUUCUUUACUGCUGGCAGGUGGUACUUGAGGCAUAAGUUCCAAUGGAUCAUUUGGGCUACGUAGUUGUGCCUCUGUUUGUAGUCUCUCUGUGCAAUUUUCUUACAGCAGCUGAGGAGAUGAUCAAUGGUUUCGUCUGUUUCCUUGCAUUUUCGGUCACAUAGUUGUGCCUCUGUUUGUAGUCUGUCAUUAUUAUUAUUAUUGUAUGACACAGCAAACAAGAUAGAUAUGCUGGAUUUCGUUUCGCAAAAUCACAAGUCGAACACUUCCCAAGUGUCUAGGACUGUGUGAUGUAUUUUCGGAUGAUUAUUAUAUGGCCAUACAGCCCGGAAAACUCACAGCAAACCAACGUGAGUCUGUUGUUUACCAAAUAAUAGAAGAGAUAUUGUUGCUUGUAGUGGUAAAGCAGCACUGCUGGGUUUCGUGAUCCCUACAUUUGCUUUAUGCAACUGAAUAUGUACACUAUGAAUAUGAAACCAUUACGAGUGCCAUAAUUACUGAUAUUCCAAUGUGUAGGUGUGCUGGUACGGCUGUACCAGAAGCUCUGACUUUAUUUUCUUGUUGCUAAUGUUUGCAAUCAUAGGACAGGCCGCCUGUCAAUCAUCAAGUUUGGUUCCGCCCCUUGUUCAGGGCUCUGGGAGGGAAGGGGCCAUUUUUAAGUCAGUCUCUCUUAAGGAAGCUAAGCUAUAGGACGUAGACCAGCUCGUCCCGUAGAAAAGCUUCAUAUCUCAGUAACAUCCGGGGAUAUAGAACAUCCGAGAAAACAGAAACGGAAAUUCCAGGGAAAAAGGUCCCAAAGGUUCUGGAUAAGAGCUUUCAGCCUCUCAACCUCACAGCUCCUGAGGGAAACAGCCCUAAAGUUUCUAAAGAAACCUCGGAGAGGGAACAGCACCACAGAUCCACGGAACCCCAGCUGAAACAUCUGCAAGCCUUGGUUGGUAGGUCCACUCGAUACCCAGAUGCAUUUGGAAUCGGUAGUGGGUCCCACAUCAGCUAGGCCCAUAUGAUAGACAGCCUGGGAGAGGUUAUAAGAGAGUUUUCACAGUUAUCCAAAGCCAAUUGCCUGUCCCCUGGGGACAAGACUGAAAGGGCCAACAGUUUAUUAAGGAAACCUUGAAGUGUUAUUUGACUCCUUGAAGAUUUAUUAUUUGUUCAACAAUAAAGACUUUGUUAUCUCAUUAAAGACUCAAUCCUUUUCAGAAAAAUCCUCAAGAACCUUUCUUUGAGGCGCCCUGGCUUCCCGCUGGGCAUAAAGUAUAUGUCCUAUACAAAAGACAAUAGUUACAGGCACAGCGCUUGACAGAACAGUAGGAAUGGAAUAUAUAAGUCAUAGAGGAAGGGCUGGAUCUCAUCUUCCCUCCCCAGCUUAAGGUUUCCUUUCCCUUCCAGGGCGUUGCAUCUGAAACAGAGCCAGUGGCAAAGCAGAAGCAUCCGCACAUCCCAUGACUGGCCCAGAAGAACAUCUCACUGUCUUGGUGGGCACCUGCUUUUGACACGCAUCUACUUCAGAGCAGGAUGCAACAGAUGCAAGAAGCCAGUGCUCCACGGCAAGCUUAGUGGGGCAGAUUUUCAUUGGGUUCCAGUUUGGUCUCCCUCAGCUUGAUGAAUGUCUUGCAUGUGCCGCCGUUUUGGAUUUGUUUGUUUGUUUGUUGAAUCACGAGGGAUACGAGGCCCUCAGGCUUUUUCCAUUGAGAUGUCCAUUGAAGCAAAGAUGCUGCGGCAAGUUGGUUCUUUUUUUCCCUCUUGAUGGUGACCCCCUUUACUAAAGGAGAGGCAAAUAUGGCUGCCUGACAGUUUCCUGCCAAUGGUUGGGAAGAUUAAAAGGUGGAAGUCGGUUACCUUUCCCAGGUUUUAUGUUUUCACAGAGGAGAGAAAGGAAAGUGUUUUCCUUUUGUGUAAAUAAAGUUGUAUUAUUAUUAUUUAUUGUUUAAUGUUCACCACGGUUGCCUGACAGAUGGAUUUUCGAAUUGCACAUUUCUGGGUGGAAGAUGUAAUAAUUUAAGUCUUACUACCCAGCAUCUAUAACAAUAAAUUCUGACGAUUAUUCAGACUACAACAAUUUCCAUGUGAACGAAGAUACGGUUUUGAAAUUUUGGCCAAGCAUUAUCCUUGCCCAGGACAUAAUACUGAUAAAUACACACAAAUGUCUAUACUAGACAAUGUCAAAGAGAUAAACACUAUAAAGGUUCAAAACAUAAAAAGAGAUGUGUAUAUUAGAGCAACUUGCAAAGGCCACAGAAAUAGUCAGUCGUCUCUGAGUAU
rnacentral:lncRNA from 11 species